rnacentral:rRNA from 1 species
AUGAAAAGCUUAUCGGAGCCUUGUGGGAUUAUAGAACCACAACAUGCACUGACACCUUAUUCCUUAGUAUUUGGAGGAUAAGCCGAUCUACCUUUAGAGGUACAAAUCACGUCAUUCAGAGUCGCUACACAUGAAAAUUUGUCGGAAGAAAAAUCAAUACAAUUACGUUUCGAUGAAUUGGAUAGACUAGAAGGAAGGUGACUUCAAGCUUUGCAAAAUCUUGAGGCAUACCAAGACAGGAUGUCGCGAGCAUUCGACAAAUGAGUCAAAAGAAGGUCGUUCAAACAAGGAGAUCUAGUAGUUGCGGUCAUCCAUCCUAUGAAUAUCAUGCGACGGGUGAAAGGAAAGUUUGAACCAAAAUGAAAAGGUCCCUUCGUCAUACAAGAGGUUUAUUCUAGCGGCGCAUAUAGAAUCAUAUCACCAGAUGGGGAAUACUCGCCGACACCGGUAAAUGGGAAAUUCCUUAAGCGCUACUAUGCAUAA